UGGGGUUCAACAUCUCGCCGGCCUUGACUCGCGCACGUCCCGUUCCGCUCAGGGUACAUCCUGCCUCAGCAGCCACACCUCUCCCUCCAAGCACAGAGCUUGCUGCCCCACCCCCGUACAAUGAACGAGCAUGCCAAGGAGAGGAGCUCCAUGUGUAUGGGAGACCAGCCGCUCCCCAAUCUUCAGAUCUGACCAACGUGGGAGGAAUUGUUGGAGAACAACCAAAUCCAAACGCCUCACCGAGUAUAAUGUUUGUGACUAACACCUAUUUAUCAACACAUGGGAUGACCAUGUCGUGGGUGAAGAAGUUUGCAAUGGAUCAACCUUGAAGACACUCGGAACAUUUACUUCGAGUGAAGACUCUCGCGGCGCAAUUGCCACUGCCCCGACCUCGCCGAUUGUUUACCUCGCUGGCUUGACAGCGGCCUUUGUGAUUUUGAACAUAUGUGCUACUCUCCUGGACACCGCCGACUCAGGUCCUACUCUCCUGGACGCCGCCAACUCAGGUUAUAUCUACAUGUAGCGUUGGAGAAUAUUAUGCUGAAUGGGCCAUAUCGGUCUUUUUCUGCACGCAUUAUUAUAUCCUCUUCUUAUCUCCCCCGCUUGUGCCACCGGAGAAUAUCAAGGAUGUGGCAUCGGCACUGAGCCGCCACUGGUAGGCAAGGGCAUGUGGCCUGGCCAUGAACGAUGAGAUUGGGGUCGGCACACACCAAAGCGACACACAGAGGCAGAGUUCUAUAAAAAAAAAGAAAUCCAUCUAAUUCUACUUGACAACCUUCCAACACGAGGUAACAUCAUUUGUGGCAUGGGUAUAUCUUAUAUCUACUAAAUAUCACUUCUAGAUAUUGGUGUUACGUACCAAGUGCAUCUAUAUUGCCAAUGCUUCUGCGCUUUUGAUAAUUAGUCAAUAUUUUCAUGUAUUUGUUACAACAGCAUGGUGUUAGCAAGCGUAUUGUCUUGUGAAAAAUUGAUGAUUGCAUCUGCACUUCGUAUCUAAUUGUGUUAUUUCAGAGCUAAUAUUUUUACUAAUUAUUCUAUUCUUUCCACUUCUUGUAUAAACAGACCAGGACCAGUAUUCUGAACCUCAUACCAUUAAGAUAAUCAGCUAAGUUUUUUUAUAGAUGCACUAACUGAUUGCUAAUUUCAGCUUUGUUCUUCAUUACUGCAGGGCAUAUCUGUAUUCUAAAGAAAAUUCGUACACCUGGUAAUUCUUUCUUGACAUGGCUAUUCCAUCGAGGUUUAAUCCUAUGAUACACAACUAAUAGUUUGUUGGUAUGCAUAACUAUCUUGCCAAAGGUUUUGCCUCACUUUGUAGUUGAAAGUGUUUGCUGCAAUCAUUAUGAGCAUCAUGUUUGCCUUUUUGUGGAAAAAUAGUGUAGAACUCUUCUUGCUACUAUCAUCAACUCUCAACGAGUCAGUGAUGGACAGGAUUAUUAUUCAUGUAUUUGAACAAUUGAUUCAGGGUCUAUUCAUAGAUGCGUUAAUUUGUUUUUGUAUGACUCCUUUCUUCCAUCAAUGUUUUUACAUCCAAAUGAACUGCACUAUUCUUAUACAGUCAAAUUAGAAUAUUUUGAUUUUUUGAUGAUCACUUAAAUAAAUGAAUAUCCACGGUUAUCAGGGAGGGAGGGAGAGGGAGAGCGAGAUGGAGAGAUAGAUAGAGAGAGAGAACGCAUUUAAUAUUUGAUAGCUUCCCUUAAUCACCUCUCUGAUGGAGCUGCAGUUUUGCAUGUUUAAAAUGAAUGAGUAUGUAAAGAUUAGCGACAUUUUCUUACAAGCACCUGAAAUAUUUGCAUAAAAUGCUUUCCUAGGGCUGGUCAACUCUUUUUAUUUCUGUCAUAGUACACAUGUCUAAUACCACAAAUUGCCAUAUGGUUUUCAACGGUACAUGAGCUAUGAGUUUCCCUAUUAUUUUAAGAGUUCAUAAGUUGGGUUGACUGUGAGACUCUAAAUACAUGAUACAUGGUCUUGUACAAUUUAUAUUACUGUCCAUCGAAGUGUUUUAUACUUGGUAUUAAAGUUGCAGGUUAUUCCUUUGAAUGAUCUAAGAAAUAUAUUUGGAUUAGGGAAGCAUGAAGCACAAGCAAUCACCUCAGAUAUUGAAUCUCGAGCAUACAGAAAUAAGCUUAUAAAAUCCUUUAGUACUGAUUUGGCUGCUGCUCCUAACAAAGCAUCAUUCCUCCAAAAUCUCUGUCAGGAGUUACAGUUUGAUCCUGAACUUGCUAGCAAGAUGCAUAAAGAUACCAAGCUGACACUUGUUUUUUGUAUUACAUCAUUAAUUUUACAGCAUAGUUCUAUGUUAGCUCAAAAUUUGAUCUUGCUCCUGCUAGCAAGAUGUGUACCAUAUUAGCUACAGUUUGAAGGAUAUAAUCCU